CUACCAAAGUGGAUUUGAUUGAAUGCUUCUUCUUUGGUAAGGGAUGCGAAAGAAUUAAAGCGAUCAUUUGAAUAGUUUUUCCCAAUCCCAUCUAAAAAAAUUAUUAGCACUGAAUAACAACAAAUAAUAUUUUCAUGACUUACAUCAUCUGCUAGAAUUCCGCCGGAAGCCGAAGAUUUAGACACCGUUUCUCUUGAUUUGAGCCAAGUAAGUCCUUGGACUUGAUGAUCUAGUAGACGUAUAUGCAUGCCAGGAAUAAACGAGGACUGCCUCUGCAUUGAAUCGUCCUUAACAUUGUCCAGCACAUUAUUCUCAAACAGUUUAUGUAGCAUUGCUUGAGUAUUUUGGGAAGUUAAGAUUUCUUCAGUGGGUAUACCUAUGGGGCCUUUUCUAUUUUCAGAAGUUGGUUUAUUGUGCUUACCAAAAUAUAGCGUUGAAGUAGAAGCUCUGGGAAUUGGAAUCACAAUAGGCUUAUCAUUUAUCAAGUCCGUUCUUUUCGAAGUUGCUUUAUUUAUUGAGACUUCAGGAACCUUGGUAUAUGGUUUCUUCCACGCACCAGAUUUUACUGAGAUAGGGGCAAAUGGAUCUUUCUCCCAUUUCCUUAUUCCCUCAUCCUUACGUUCCAAUUUUUUACUAUAAAAAACCUGAGCUGGUUUACUAGUUAUAGGCGCGGAGACGAUUACUUCCUUUUCGUUUGUAUCUAUCUCCUGUCUCUUUAAGCUUUCAAAAGCAUCAGAAAGAAAAUGUUGGGUUUUCUUUUUAUUCUUAGAUUUUAUAGAUUGUUUUGGGAUGGAUUCAUCUUCGCUUUUGGGCAACCUUGGUAAUGAAGUAGAUUCAUUUUCUUUCCCUGCUGUAUUUACACCGAAAUUUUGUAAAAAAGAGUUAUUCGCUUUUUUAACCCCACUUUCCUUAUUUUUAGACGCUUUUUCCAUCAAGCUCCCUCAAGCAAAUUGCACUGAACGUGAACAUUCAGUGGUAGUAGAAAUAGCUUGUAUACGAUGGGUUCUUACUAAGUGAAGAUUGGUGUCAAGAACUCAAAUAUUUCUAUUUGCUUACUUUAAUGUUUUUUUGAGUAUAAAAGUAAACCCUACACAAUAUAUCCACUAACACAGUUUUCGAGUCGAAAUUUGUAAAGACUGCUCAAAUCGACUAUAGGAUUUAAGAACUUGCGCAAUGGUCCUAAUUAACCGAACUUUCAAACAAUUUUAUAAGAAUGUUUGCAACAAAGUGUCUGCAAUUCUGGAUUUAGUUCAUAGUCUAACUUUUUGGAAAAAAAAAUUUAUAUUAGAAAUAGUCAAAAGUUAUGGAAGUUUUUCAGCUUAGUUUUAAAAUCAACGUAUUAAGAUAAACUGGUUAUCAAUGCGAAGAUGAUACCACAUUUGCAGCAUCACUAUUAGUUUUCGAAUUGAAUCUCUUAUACAUUGACACUUAUAAAGAAAAAAGCCCAUUAGGGGUUGAAAGGCUACAUUCUCCGGCCUUUCCUAAAUAAGAAACAUAUUCAACCAGUCUGCCACUUUUAAUAAGACAAUGGUAAAGUUUUAAAUCUUCACUGGCAACUUCGUUAGCCAGAGCAAAACAGCUAUCAUAGUCCUCAAGGCUAAAAUAAACAUUAUGCAAACCGAGAAUUAGUUCAGGCACAUACAAAUUCCGAAUAGUCAUAAGAGUUUUAUAAAGCAAAGGAUCAUCAUCUGGUUUCAGCUCCAAUGUAGACGGGUGAAGCCAGUUAGCUUGAAGUAAGUCUGUGAAGGACUUUACACAUUUACGAGAGGCAAAAUUCAAUUUUUUUUUCCAAACUUUAUAAGAAGUGCUAGCUUUCGUAACUGCAGAAUCUUCAAAUACUUCUUGUUUAGAAAGCUCUUCCCAUUCUUGAUAAAAUUUAAGUGCUCUGCAGAGAGCUCGAUAGUUCAUCAGUUCAUACGCAUCUCUAAACUUAGAAUCGUUUUCGGGUUCACCAUCGCUAGAGCUUAGCGUAUUCAAAGCAUCAGAGGGAAUAUGUGUAUAAAGAUCGUAUGCACUAUUUAGCUCGCCAAUGCUUAAAAAGAAACGAUAUACAAGGUUUGCAAAUCGGAGCAGCUCAUCUGUCUGUGAAGUGAUUAAUAACCAUUCAAGGGUGCAGAUGAGCUUUUUAUAAGAUGGUUCAACUGGCUCCUCAA